CUUAAAACUCAAAGGACUUGGCGGUGUCCCAUUUCGGCCUAGAGGAGCCUGUCCUAUAAUCGACACUCCCCGUUCCACCCAACCUCCACUUGCACAUUCAGCCUAUAUACCGCCGUCGACAGUCUACCCCAUGAGGGUCUUUUAGUAGACACAAAAGCAACAACUCGCUAACACGUCAGGUCAAGGUGUAGCAAAUGUUGAGGAAGAGAUUGGCUACAUUUUUUAUUUCAAAACAAACGAAAUGCAACAUGAAACAUUGCACGAAGGUGAAUUUAGCAGUAAAAUGAACAAGAGAAUUCAUUUUAACACC
rnacentral:rRNA from 1 species